AGUCGUGAAAUGGUGAAGUUGGGCAUCUCAGGAGCUCUAGGUACUGCCGGCCUCCAAGUUGUUUCUUGGCAACUUUACUUGGUGUGAGAUUCUUGAAUCCGAGGGGUGAAAAUGGGGUAGGUGGAACUGACCUUGACUUAAGAAUUCUGAUUUCUUUUCAUGUGGAAAUCUGACUUGGACUCAGAUGCAGCCUGAUUGUCCAACUUUUGUCAUAAACUGCUACUGCUUGCCCUAUUCAGGAAGGGAGGCAGGGAGGGGAGCACAUCUAAACCUAUAAAGAAAAUUCCGGCUUCCUUCUGCGUUUUUCAGCUGGAAAGGAAUGAGAUGGUUUUGCUAGGUGUGAGUCCCAUAGUUCUAAUGAGCUCUAACUGCAGCUGAGCGGCUGGACACAUCACAAGCCUACUGAGACCAGGACCAGAUGCUCCAGAGAAACGGUGGCCAGGCGAAGGUCAUGCUUCCUUUCCAUCUGACAGCAUUUUACUCAGAUGGUGGUCAAGUAGUAAUAUUUAUGAGCUUCUAUGAGUGCUAGGCGAAGCAGAGGUCUGAUUACUCAUAUCAAAGAGAGGCUCUGCCAAAGUGGGCUGAAUAUUAAAGUUAGUGAGUGAAAGGUUUAAAAAAAAAGGUCCUAAUUCAUCCCAUGCUGAAAGAUGAAAGCUUUGGAGAUAUCGGUAAUUCCUCUCAUUCCACCCACCCACGUCCAGACCAAUGGAAACAGGAAGAGCCUCAGAACGCAGUUUCGAGCAGGAUAAAGUGCCGCAAUGGUGCCCUUGAACUGAAAGCUCACCUGCAGCACUGGGAGAGAGGCGAGAGGAUGGAGAUUUCGUCAUGGGAGUGUCGCCCAAACCUAGGAGGAGAACCAGCAUUUCAGGCUGCCGAGAAAGCGAUGCUUUGUCGGGAUUUACUUAGACGGUUGAUGGAACCUCCCUGAAGACCAGGGUGGUGGUGUGGUGGGAGCAUGAAACCCGCGGAUCCGGCUGCUCUUGAGAAAGCAAUGACUGUACCAAGAUGUUAGUGAGGUUGUGCCAAAUGGGCUGAUUUCCCGACACAAACUCAUUUCCCUUCUGGUUGAAAUACAAUCACGUCCUCCUCUCAGAACUGCUUUCAUGCUGUGUUGCCACAGACCACGUGUGCUCACUCUGGGCUAACUGAGUCCCAACCCCAUCCCGACCUCAGUCACUGCUCUGGCUCAGCGGUUGAGUAAGGCCUGUCCAGAGGGUGACACAUGGAUCCGGAUUCGGGCUAUUACAGGAGGAAUGCAAAGAGAGACAAACAGCCAAUUUUCACCUUUUGACCUCAAAACUUGUCUUCAGAAGAAGGGGAGCUUGAUAUCUACUCAUAAACAGAUUAAAAAGAGAAUAAAUGAAGAGCUAAUCACUUGGUCCUAC